UAGGUUGACCAACCAUCUCACUUUGCCCGGGACUGAGGGAUUUCCCAGGCCACAAGAUUUUCAGUGCUAAAAUAGAGUCUCGGGCAAACCAGGAUGGUUGGUCACCCUACUUCAAC
rnacentral:pre_miRNA from 1 species